rnacentral:rRNA from 1 species
CGGCGUGCUUAACACAUGCAAGUCGAACGAUGAAGCACUUGGGUGGGGAUUAGUGGCGAACGGGUGAGUAACACGUGGGCAAUCUGCCCUGCACUCUGGGACAAGCCCUGGAAACGGGGUCUAAUACCGGAUAUUGACCCUCGAGGGCAUCUUCGAGGUUCGAAAGCUCCGGCGGUGCAGGAUGAGCCCGCGGCCUAUCAGCUUGUUGGUGAGGUAAUGGCUCACCAAGGCGACGACGGGUAGCCGGCCUGAGAGGGCGACCGGCCACACUGGGACUGAGACACGGCCCAGACUCCUACGGGAGGCAGCAGUGGGGAAUAUUGCACAAUGGGCGAAAGCCUGAUGCAGCGACGCCGCGUGAGGGAUGACGGCCUUCGGGUUGUAAACCUCUUUCAGCAGGGAAGAAGCGAAAGUGACGGUACCUGCAGAAGAAGCGCCGGCUAACUACGUGCCAGCAGCCGCGGUAAUACGUAGGGCGCGAGCGUUGUCCGGAAUUAUUGGGCGUAAAGAGCUCGUAGGCGGCUUGUCACGUCAGUUGUGAAAGCCCGGGGCUUAACCCCGGGUCUGCAGUCGAUACGGGCAGGCUAGAGUUCGGUAGGGGAGAUCGGAAUUCCUGGUGGAGCGGUGGAAUGCGCAGAUAUCAGGAGGAACACCGGUGGCCAAGGCGGAUUACUGGGCCGAUACUGACGCUGAGGAGCGAAAGCGUGGGGAGCGAACAGGAUUAGAUACCCUGGGAGGCCACGCCGUAAACGGUGGGCACUAGGUGUGGGCAACAUUCCACGUUGUCCGUGCCGCAGCUAACGCAUUAAGGGCCCCGCCUGGGGAGUACGGCCGCAAGGCAAAAACUCAAAGGAAUUGACGGGGGCCCACACAAGCGGCGGAGCAUGUGGCUUAAUUCGACGCAACGCGAAGAACCUUACCAAGGCUUGACAUACACCGGAAAGCAUCGGCGAUGGUGGCCCCCUUGUGGUCGGUGUACAGGUGGUGCAUGGCGGUCGUCAGCUCGUGUCGUGAGAUGUUGGGUUAAGUCCCGCAACGAGCGCAACCCUUGUCCCGUGUUGCCCACAUGCCCUUCGUGGUGAUGGGGACUCACGGGAGACCGCCGGGGUCAACUCGGAGGAAGGUGGGGACGACGUCAAGUCAUCAUGCCCCUUAUGUCUUGGGCUGCACACGUGCUACAAUGGCCGGUACAAUGAGCUGCGAUACCGCGAGGUGGAGCGAAUCUCAAAAAGCCGGUCUCAGUUCGGAUUGGGGUCUGCAACUCGACCCCAUGAAGUCGGAGUCGCUAGUAAUCGCAGAUCAGCAUUGCUGCGGUGAAUACGUUCCCGGGCCUUGUACACACCGCCCGUCACGUCACGAAAGUCGGUAACACCCGAAGCCGGUGGCCCAACCCCUUGUGGGAGGGAGCUGUCGAAGGUGGGACUGGCGAUUGGGACGAAGUCGUAACAAGGUA